AACGAGCGCUGGCGGCGUGCUUAACACAUGCAAGUCGAACGAGAAAGCUCUUCGGAGUGAGUAGAGUGGCGCACGGGUGAGUAACACGUAGGUAAUCUACCUUAAGGUGGGGGAUAACCAGAAGAAAUUCUGGCUAAUACCGCAUAUGAUAGUAAUAUCAAAGGAUGCUUCGGCAUUCGCCUUUAGAUGAGCCUGCGGGACGUUAGCUUGAUGGUGGGGUAAUGGCCUACCAUGGCGACGAUGUCUAGCUGGUCUGAGAGGAUGAUCAGCCACACUGGAACUGAGACACGGUCCAG
rnacentral:rRNA from 1 species